CGUCAUACCUACCGGGAAGAAGUCUUCUCUAGCUUCUGCUGGAGGAGGUGGCUCCUAGUGCACAGGACCCGCGGUCCAUAUCUGCUGCAGAAGGUGAUAUCCCUGAUGGAUACAGCCAACAACAAGAUGGAGGAGAGAAUGUUAGAUCUCACCCUAGAGAUAAUCUUCUGGCUCACUGGAGAGGAUUAUACAGUUGUGAAGAAGACUUCCAGUGAGCACUGUCAGACCCCUUUGGUUGAAUCUUGUGGUAGAACCCUACGCCCCAUCGCAGAGCCUCCCCCUCACCCCCUGAUACAUGAGCAGAAGAUCCUAGAACUCACCCACAAGAUGAUGGAGCUGCUGACUGGGGAGGUUCCUAUAAGGUGUCAGGACGUCACUGUCUAUUUCUCCAUGGAGGAGUG